UACGUAGGGUGCAAGCGUUGUCCGGAAUUAUUGGGCGUAAAGAGCUCGUAGGCGGUCUGUCGCGUCUGCUGUGAAAACUUGGGGCUUAACUCUGAGCUUGCGGUCGAUACGGGCAUCACUUGAGUUCGGCAGGGGAGACUGGAAUUCCUGGUGUAGCGGUGAAAUGCGCAGAUAUCAGGAGGAACACCGGUGGCGAAGGCGGGUCUCUGGGCCGAUACUGACGCUGAGGAGCGAAAGCGGUGGGAGCGAACAGG
rnacentral:rRNA from 1 species